AAUCCAUGCAUAGGACACUUCCACAAUUCCUUGAAUCUUUUCCAUGCUUAAUACAAGCUUUCAUACUCCAUUUGUUUGAAUGAAAUUAAAUCAUUUCAGAGUUU